UACGAGGGGUGCGAGCGUUGUUCGGAAUCACUGGGCGUAAAGUGCACGUAGGCGGAUGUGUCAGUCAGGGGUGAAAUCCCGGGGCUCAACCUCGGAACUGCCUUUGAUACAGCACGUCUUGAGUCCGAUAGAGGUGGGUGGAAUUCCUAGUGUAGAGGUGAAAUUCGUAGAUAUUAGGAAGAACACCGGUGGCGAAGGCGGCCCACUGGAUCGGUACUGACGCUGAGGUGCGAAAGCGUGGGGAGCAAACAGG
rnacentral:rRNA from 1 species